rnacentral:rRNA from 1 species
AACCUUUACAAUGCACGAAAGUGUGAUAAGGGAACUCUUAGUGCUUGCACUAAGUGUAGGCUUUUGCCAAAUGUAAAUAGUUUGGCGAAUAAGUGGUGGGAAAGACUGGUGCCAGCCGCCGCGGUAACACCAGCGCCACAAGUGGCGAUCGUUUUUAUUGGGCCUAAAGCGUCCGUAGCUGGUUUGGUAAAUCUCUUGUGAAAUUGUUAAGCUUCACUUAACAGCGUGCAGGAGACACUGCCAAACUCGGAACCGGUAGGAGUCAGAAGUAUGGUAGGGGUAACGGUAAAAUGUUAUAAUCCCUACUAGACUACCUGUGGCGAAGGCGUCUGACUAGGACGGAUUCGACAGUGAGGGACGAAAGCCAGGGGAGCGAACCGG